rnacentral:lncRNA from 1 species
ACAAACAGAGGCAGGUGUCACAGGGUCUUUCUAUUGGCUCCAGAAGUGAUCCAGAGAUUCUCCCUUGCAGGAAUUCUUGGCAGGAGCAGAGAUUUGAGAGCUGUGUGGGAAGAAGUUUCCAGCCUGGCUGCUGAGCUUGGUGCACUGCAAGUGGCAGGCAGAGACAACUUUAACUUCCUUGCUUGGAGCCUCAUCCAGCCUGACCUUGAGUGAUUGCAGGGACAGGACAGCCAAAACUUCUCUGGGCAACCUGUUCUGCCAGAUAAAAACACAAAUCACUUUAUCCAUGGAUAAAACAUGCUGCCCUACAAAGAGAUCAUUUCCUCUCCAAAUCCAGUGGUUGCCCAGACAAAAUCAUCUCAGAAACACCACAAAAAUAAUGAGAUGUAGCUGAAUACAAGGAGAGAACUCGAG